UCGAACGAUGAUCAGGAGCUUGCUCCUGUGAUUAGUGGCGAACGGGUGAGUAACACGUGAGUAACCUGCCCCUGACUCUGGGAUAAGCGUUGGAAACGACGUCUAAUACUGGAUACGACUGCCGGCCGCAUGGUCUGGUGGUGGAAAGAUUUUUUGGUUGGGGAUGGACUCGCGGCCUAUCAGCUUGUUGGUGAGGUAAUGGCUCACCAAGGCGACGACGGGUAGCCGGCCUGAGAGGGUGACCGGCCACACUGGGACUGAGACACGGCCCAGACUCCUACGGGAGGCAGCAGUGGGGAAUAUUGCACAAUGGGCGAAAGCCUGAUGCAGCAACGCCGCGUGAGGGAUGACGGCCUUCGGGUUGUAAACCUCUUUUAGUAGGGAAGAAGCGAAAGUGACGGUACCUGCAGAAAAAGCACCGGCUAACUACGUGCCAGCAGCCGCGGUAAUACGUAGGGUGCGAGCGUUGUCCGGAAUUAUUGGGCGUAAAGAGCUCGUAGGCGGUUUGUCGCGUCUGCU
rnacentral:rRNA from 1 species